GUUUUCUUAACCCAACAGCUAGCUUCCUGUGAAACAGUACAUCCUCAUGGAAUGUCUCCAUGGAAUGCACGUAGAGUUCAGGAUACUUCUGCCAUCUUAGUUGUGUGAGUGAGCCAAAUCACACAGCCAAAUGCCCAUUUGGAAAAUAGGUUCUGAAUUUAUAGGUUCUGAAUUUCAGGUUCUGAAAAACCAAGGGAAAAAGAUUUGCCUAUAGAGAGAUCACACCAAGGAUACCGAGCUGGGGAUAAUUAAAAUAAAAGUGACGUUGACCAGGUUAAAUUCCGUUUUAGGUGAUCAUCACUGUCACACAGACAGUUCUGGUGAUACAUUUGCAGCAGCCAACUUUGCAAGCUACAAAGGAUCAGCCUUGUGAUCCAGAUUUGGUCUUUGAUUUGGGGGAUGCCAUUUGCAUUCUGACACUCUUCCUGUGAUGAGUUUUAUGACUUCUUAUUACCCAGUACAUAAAACUCUGCUUUUGCAUUGUGAUGGCUAUCCAUUUUAAUCUUCAAGAAUUUAUAACCUGAUCCGAGAUUACAAUAUAAGCAUAAGCAUCGUGUGAAGUAGGUGUCCAUUCUGAUUCUAAAAAUAAGAUGGUGCAUCAAAUGGCAAAGUGAUUAGGAAUCCCUUUGGACGGUUCAUUGGAGUUUCCAUCCCUUUCUGGGUGCUGGUCAGAACUCAUAGCUCAGAGCCACACCCAUGAUAUGGCCUAAAGGGGAGGCAGAGGAGACUAGGAUGAGCAGACACAACACAUCCCAAAAUGUGCUGGACAAGCAGGGGAAGGAAAGUGCUGCCCUUCCUUGUGAUGUGGAACCUGCCCUCCCCACUCCCACACUCUGGACGAAUCUCUCGCCUCUCUUGAUCAAUCUCUCGCCUCUCUUGAUCUUGUGGGUUAAACCAAUAUCUGGAGAUUCAAGUGCAAGUGGUUUUUAA
rnacentral:lncRNA from 1 species